UACGUAGGGUGCAAGCGUUAAUCGGAAUUACUGGGCGUAAAGCGUGCGCAGGCGGUUAUGCAAGACAGAUGUGAAAUCCCCGGGCUUAACCUGGGAACCGCAUUUGUGACUGCAUAGCUGGAGUACGGCAGAGGGGGAUGGAAUUCCGCGUGUAGCAGUGAAAUGCGUAGAUAUGCGGAGGAACACCGAUGGCGAAGGCAGUCCCCUGGGCCUGUACUGACGCUCAUGCACGAAAGCGUGGGAAGCAAAAGGG
rnacentral:rRNA from 1 species